AGGAAUACAUGGAUAACGUACCCUGAACACAGGAAUAGCGGCGUCUCGGGCGCUUCGGUGCCCGAGACUAGCGAAAGCGCCGGUAAUACCUGAUGAUCCCAUUGGAUCUCCUGAUCCGGUGGGCAAAAGCUCAGGCGGUUCUGGAUCGGUCCAUGUCCUAUCCGCUUGUUGGUGGGGUAACGGCCUACCAAGGCGGCGACGGGUACCGGGCGUGAGAGCGUGUCCCGGCACAUCGGAACUGAGACACUGUCCGGACACCUACGGGUGGCUGCAGCAACGAAUAUUCCGCAAUGGACGCAAGUCUGACGGAGCGACGCCGCGUGCAGGAAGAAGUCCCUCGGGAUGUAAACUGCUGUCAGGGGUUAGGAAUCAAUGACCAGCCCCAAAGGAAGCACUGGCUAACUCCGUGCCAGCAGCCGCGGUAAUACGGAGAGUGCAAGCGUUGAUCGGAAUUACUGGGCUUAAAGAGCGUGUAGGCGGGUCGGCAGGUGUCGGGUGAAGCCCUCGGCUCAACCGAGGAGUGGCUUGGCAAACGGCCGGUCUUGAGGCAGGCAGAGGUGACUGGAACGACUGGUGGAGCGGUGAAAUGCGUAGAUAUCAGUUGGAACGCCGGAGGCGAAAGCGGGUCACUGGGCCUGUCCUGACGCUGAGACGCGAAAGCGUGGGGAGCGAAGAGGAUUAGAUACCCUCGUAGUCCACGCCGUAAACGAUGCGCACUAGGUAUGACGGGGUCUGACACCGGUCGUGCCGAAGGAAAACUGAUAAGUGCGCCGCCUGGGGAGUACGGCCGCAA
rnacentral:rRNA from 1 species